GUACACUCCUACGGGAGGCAGCAGUGGGGAAUUUUGGACAAUGGGCGAAAGCCUGAUCCAGCAAUGCCGCGUGAGUGAAGAAGGCCUUCGGGUUGUAAAGCUCUUUUGUCAGGGAAGAAACGGUGAGAGCUAAUAUCUUUUGCUAAUGACGGUACCUGAAGAAUAAGCACCGGCUAACUACGUGCCAGCAGCCGCGGUAAUACGUAGGGUGCAAGCGUUAAUCGGAAUUACUGGGCGUAAAGCGUGCGCAGGCGGUUUUGUAAGUCUGAUGUGAAAUCCCCGGGCUCAACCUGGGAAUUGCAUUGGAGACUGCAAGGCUAGAAUCUGGCAGAGGGGGGUAGAAUUCCACGUGUAGCAGUGAAAUGCGUAGAUAUGUGGAGGAACACCGAUGGCGAAGGCAGCCCCCUGGGUCAAGAUUGACGCUCAUGCACGAAAGCGUGGGGAGCAAACAGGAUUAGAUACCCCUGUAGUCCCAUG
rnacentral:rRNA from 1 species